AAGUCGUAACAAGGUCUCCGUUGGUGAACCAGCGGAGGGAUCAUUACUGAGUUUUGAAAAAGACUCCCAAACCCUGUGAACCUACCUAUUGUUGCCUCGGUAGGUGGCCUCGUUGCGCUGUAGGAAUAAAUCCCUAUAGUACAGUGGGUGCACCCUGCCGAAGGCCCCUAUAAACUCUUUGUAUUUUGAACAUUGGAUCUUCUGAAGUGGAAAAAAAAAAUAGUUAAAACUUUCAACAACGGAUCUCUUGGCUCUG
rnacentral:misc_RNA from 1 species